rnacentral:rRNA from 1 species
UACAGAGGGUGCGAGCGUUAAUCGGAAUUACUGGGCGUAAAGCGUGCGUAGACGGUUAUUUAAGUCGGAUGUGAAAGCCCCGGGCUCAACCUGGGAAUUGCAUUCGAGACUGAAUAGCUAGGGUGCGGUAGAGGGAAGCGGAAUUUCCGGUGUAGCGGUGAAAUGCGUAGAUAUCGGAAGGAACAUCAGUGGCGAAAGCGGCUUCCUGGACCAGCACCGACGUCAGGCACGAAAGCGUGGGGAGCAAACAG